GACGAACGCUGGCGGCGUGCUUAGCACAUGCAAGUCGAACGGAAAGGCCCUGCUUUUGUGGGGUGCUCGAGUGGCGAACGGGUGAGUAACACGUGAGUAACCUGCCCUUGACUUUGGGAUAACUUCAGGAAACUGGGGCUAAUACCGGAUAGGAGCUCCUGCUGCAUGGUGGGGGUUGGAAAGUUUCGGCGGUUGGGGAUGGACUCGCGGCCUAUCAGCUUGUUGGUGGGGUAGUGGCUUACCAAGGCUUUGACGGGUAGCCGGCCUGAGAGGGUGACCGGCCACAUUGGGACUGAGAUACGGCCCAGACUCCUACGGGAGGCAGCAGUGGGGAAUAUUGCACAAUGGGCGGAAGCCUGAUGCAGCAACGCCGCGUGCGGGAUGACGGCCUUCGGGUUGUAAACCGCUUUCGCCUGUGACGAAGCGUGAGUGACGGUAAUGGGUAAAGAAGCACCGGCUAACUACGUG
rnacentral:rRNA from 1 species